UCCCUCCCAGCUCUCCCGAUUGGCACCAUGGCCGGCACCAGCCUGGUACUGCUGGGGACGCAUCACCCAUCUGCUGGGCACCGAUCCGGGCUCUUACCACCCUUCUCAAUCUACUUUGGUCAAUAAGAAGGGUCUUCAAUCCAAUUGAGGGCAUGCUGGCAUGGUUUCCAGCAAGAGGUCACAAGCAUCUUUCUCUAUAAUCUUCUUAUACAACCCUUUCCAGAAGGCAUCUUCCUUCCACCUCUUCCCUCUUUCUGGUCACAUGAGGGGCAGAAAGCCUUCUCAGCAUCAUUUAUCCCUUAAAUGCAUCUCUCAAUAGCUGUGCAGCUCACAGACAGAAUACCAGCCCUUUGCCCUGAAACCCAAGUGAAUGGAUUGGUAUAUUUUCAACUGAGUUCUGUGCUUAAACCAUGAACAAUAAUUACCUUAACUUUUUUAUUUAAGAUUUUUAAAAAACUGAUUUGUACUCUCAGUCUAUCCGUCGCUCAUUCGUGCCCGACUCUUUGCGACCCCAUGGACUGCAGCGUGCCAGGCCUCCCUGUCCGUCACAAGACUCCCGGAGUUGGGCAGAGCUUUGACCUGGAGGAGCACGGCCGCCCCAGCGCACCCUGGCGCAGGUGGGUCUGUUUCACGCUUUCGUACCAUCCCCGGAACAUGAAGGCCGAAGGUGUGCACACGCUGGGCACUCACGAGCACCAUGAGAAGCAGUGUGACACUCCUGUCUCUAGUCUCUAUUUCAGAUAUUCCUGGGGCUCUCCAAGGAGCAGGAGCUGGAUGAUUUAACGGAGGAACGUGACCCUCAGUGAGGCAGAAGUUCCUCCCACAGGAAGAGCCUUGAAGCCCCCAAUCCCCCAUGUUCCCCUUUGUUUUCUAAGACACUCAUUUUUAUAGCAUCAAUGUCAUGUUUGUAGAGACCAUCGUGUAAGCAUUGAUGUGGUUCUCUGUGGGUGGAGAGGAGGUGUGAGUGCUGGAUCAGUGCAGUGAUAAUGUGGGCAGAGGCAUGUGGCUGAGCCCAGCCUGCGGGAAUGUCUUAGUGUCUCUACAGGUUACCCUGAUUCCAUUUCUCUGUAUAAAUGCUGAAUAAACAAGGUUACUUUCAUGAAAUUGUUUCAGUUUCUGAGUAUGAUAAACAAAUUUCUUAAAUUUUUUUCUUUUAUCACAACCUUAAUUAAAAAAAAAAAAAAAAGCUUACCACCUUACCUAGACCCCUUUCCAAUUUGGAGAAGGCCAACACCAACAAACUCUAAGAUAAUUAUUUUAAUUGCCUAGAGGAUUGGAAGAUGGGGGAUUGGGAAGAAGAGGACAGAAGACUUCCCAGAGCUUUUUAUUCUCAGAACUGCCACCUGAACCAGUUUUUAUAGAGAGAUCGUGGCCGUGGUUUGCGAUCGUUCAGUAUGAGACUAUUGGACUUACUGCAAAAAUGCAAACCACAGCUGCUGGGCACUUGGUCCCAGCUGUCUCAGCAAUGUCACAUCCAGUUUCUGCUUGUUGGAGAGUCCUUCAUAAAAGGCCAUUUCCUUCCUCCUCUCUGAUGAGGGGUUUUGAAUAGCAGAGAUGCUUAAAAACAAAUACAAAGAGAUGGCCAUGUCUAGGUGAACGCAAACUUCUGAGACUCUGUGCUGUAUAUCCGCCAUUCGAAAGAUGAGAUGUUACGGAGAAACGGUGUCCUGUGUUUCGGAAAAGUGAAGAGCCUGGCU
ensembl:lncRNA